rnacentral:pre_miRNA from 1 species
AACAAACCAAUCUUUCACUUUUUACCUAUAGUGUUUGACUCUUUGUCAUAUUCAAAAAUUUUACGAUUAACAUUUUUAUUUUCAUUAGAUGAUAAAUCAUGAAUAGCACUUUACGUGUGACUAAUUUUUUUUUUAAUUUUUUAAAAUUUUUUCAAAUAAGACGGAUAGUCAAAUGCUGGAUAUAGAAACCGAAAGAUUGGUUUGUU